rnacentral:rRNA from 2 species
AAAUUGAAGAGUUUGAUCAUGGCUCAGAUUGAACGCUGGCGGCAGGCCUAACACAUGCAAGUCGAACGGUAGCACAGAGAGCUUGCUCUCGGGUGACGAGUGGCGGACGGGUGAGUAAUGUCUGGGAAACUGCCCGAUGGAGGGGGAUAACUACUGGAAACGGUAGCUAAUACCGCAUAACGUCGCAAGACCAAAGUGGGGGACCUUCGGGCCUCACACCAUCGGAUGUGCCCAGAUGGGAUUAGCUAGUAGGUGGGGUAACGGCUCACCUAGGCGACGAUCCCUAGCUGGUCUGAGAGGAUGACCAGCCACACUGGAACUGAGACACGGUCCAGACUCCUACGGGAGGCAGCAGUGGGGAAUAUUGCACAAUGGGCGCAAGCCUGAUGCAGCCAUGCCGCGUGUAUGAAGAAGGCCUUCGGGUUGUAAAGUACUUUCAGCGAGGAGGAAGGCGUUGUGGUUAAUAACCACAGCGAUUGACGUUACUCGCAGAAGAAGCACCGGCUAACUCCGUGCCAGCAGCCGCGGUAAUACGGAGGGUGCAAGCGUUAAUCGGAAUUACUGGGCGUAAAGCGCACGCAGGCGGUUUGUUAAGUCAGAUGUGAAAUCCCCGGGCUCAACCUGGGAACUGCAUUUGAAACUGGCAAGCUUGAGUCUCGUAGAGGGGGGUAGAAUUCCAGGUGUAGCGGUGAAAUGCGUAGAGAUCUGGAGGAAUACCGGUGGCGAAGGCGGCCCCCUGGACAAAGACUGACGCUCAGGUGCGAAAGCGUGGGGAGCAAACAGGAUUAGAUACCCUGGUAGUCCACGCCGUAAACGAUGUCUACUUGGAGGUUGUGCCCUUGAGGCGUGGCUUCCGGAGCUAACGCGUUAAGUAGACCGCCUGGGGAGUACGGCCGCAAGGUUAAAACUCAAAUGAAUUGACGGGGGCCCGCACAAGCGGUGGAGCAUGUGGUUUAAUUCGAUGCAACGCGAAGAACCUUACCUGGUCUUGACAUCCACGGAAGUUUUCAGAGAUGAGAAUGUGCCUUCGGGAACCGUGAGACAGGUGCUGCAUGGCUGUCGUCAGCUCGUGUUGUGAAAUGUUGGGUUAAGUCCCGCAACGAGCGCAACCCUUAUCCUUUGUUGCCAGCGGUUAGGCCGGGAACUCAAAGGAGACUGCCAGU